AGUUGCCGAAGAUGACGCCCACGAUCGCAAGGUAGCCCACCCCGUUGGUCAUGCCUUCGGUGAAGGUUUGAAUAUCCGACAGAGACAUGUAUGCGCCGCCCAGGGCUGACAUCGCACCGGCAAACAGAACCGUGCCGUACCGAACCUUCACCACUGAAACGCCCGAUUUGUCCAAAGCGCGAGGCUCAGCGCCUGCAGCGUGAAUCUUGAGCCCCAGCGCCGUGUGGGAAAGCACGAACCAAAUCGCCACCGCCAAGGCGAAUGCGAGAUAAACCAUCCAGCUCUGAGCGAAGAUGGCCUGGCCCACAACCGGAAUGUCGCCGAGCAGGGGCGGGUCCCAUUUUCCAAAG
rnacentral:misc_RNA from 1 species